UGCUAUCUCACGUAUGGAUCGGAUGAUGUCAGUCUCCGCUGCACAGAGAGCCUCCACCAAGCUUCCAGUCUCUCACAUCCAUGGUCUUUUACUUUUACAGUUUCGUGUGCAGCCUGUUCUCUACAUGAAAUCGUCGUCCACACGCAUCGUCUGUGCUUUCUUGCUUGGAUCCUCACAGAUAACAGAAUACUUCUAAAGUUCUGCUGUGACAGCAUUUCAUAAGCCUCUGUCCUUUACAGAGGACGGCAUGUACCCAGGGCAAACUACCUCCCACAUGCAAUAAUAGUAGGGUACACAAGGAAACUUGGGUGUACAUACGACAAGAGCGAGCUGGGCUCCCAGAAGCUUUCUCCAAGACAGAAAUGCUCCCCUAACUCAUUCUCUGAAGCUUCAACGCAAGCAUCAGCGCCCUCUGCUGACCAGGAUUCAGAGCACGCCACAGACCGCCCAAAUAGCUUUAAGCUGAACCACCCUUAAGUGUCUUUUGAAGACCCAACUCCCAGCCCCUCUGACUGUGACUGCUUUACGCUAAAAUGAGAUCUUUGGGAUGGGCUCUAAUCUAAUAUGUCUAGUGUCCUUUGACGAUGAAGCAAACAGGCACAGACAGAAGGAAGACAUAGGGAGGCACGCCAUGCACAGUUAGGGAGACACAAAAGAAUCCCACCCAGCCAGGGCCUCCAUUUUGGACCGGACUCCCCAGAGAUAUGAUAAAAUAAUUUCCUGUGGAUUUUCAUUGCAUUUUUAUUU